UCUUUUUUUUAAAACGUAUUUAGAUUUUUAGAUAGUUAUUAUUUGGAUUAAGUUUCAUAAUUUAGGAUUUUUAGGUUACCCUGCUUGAGGUAGCUUUCCAUAUUUUGUAUUUGUGCAAUAUUGUUGUCAAGUAACCAGGGUUCUUCUUUAAUCUUGAAUGUUGCUUAUAGUGGAAAAGAUGAUAAGCUUGUCACUUUUCUGUUGCAGGUUUAAUUGUUGGAGGACUUGCUAAUAUUUCAAAUACAGAAACCAACAUUAGAUUUAUAAGAGGUCGUGACGAAUAAAAUUUUGGCAGUAUUUUGGUGAUGUAUUGAAUCAAGUUUAAGAAUUUAGACAUAUUUUGAAAAUUUUACAUUUGAUAGCAUGUGGAAAUGACAAAAAUACUAUUAUUGUGUUUUGUUUUUUGGUUGUGUUGGGUGAUUAUAUUAGAUGACAAUGCAAUGAUGCUCUAACAUGGUUCUUGUAAGACAAUUUAAGUUACUUAUUUGCCUUAUAUGA